GGUAUGUUGACUGUGCGAAGGUUGCGUGAUAAUUAGUUUCUUAAUUAGAAACUUGUAUGAAGGAUUGGACAAGAAAACUUCUGUCUCUUUCUAAUUUUUUAUGAAUUUAACUUUUGGGUUAAAAGGCCUAAAUAAGUGUAAAAGACGAGAAGACCCCAUAGAGUUUUAUUUUUUGUUGAUUUUUAGAAUUAUUUUUUAAACUUAAAAAUUAGUUGGGGUAACUUAAAGAUUUACUGAAUUCUUUAAAUUUAAAAUCCUUAAUUUGUGAAUUUAAAAUCUAAAUUAUUAAAUUUAAAUAAAGUUACCUAAGG
rnacentral:rRNA from 1 species